rnacentral:tRNA from 1 species
AGAGAAAUUAGUUUAUAAGAAUAUAAAGUUGUCAAUUUUAAGGUGCUAGAACAUUCUAGUGUUUCUCUA